AGUCUAGUGGCCUAGUGGAUAGGAUGAUUGACUGUAGAUCAAAAGGUUCGAUCCCCAGCUCCACUA